rnacentral:rRNA from 1 species
GUGGGGAAUAUUGCGCAAUGGACGAAAGUCUGACGCAGCGACGCCGCGUGAGUGAUGAAGGCCUUAGGGUCGUAAAGCUCUGUUGAAUGGGAAGAAAAAAAUGACGGUACCAUUCGAGGAAGGACCGGCUAACUUCGUGCCAGCAGCCGCGGUAAUACGAGGGGUCCUAGCGUUGUUCGGAAUCAUUGGGCGUAAAGGGUGUGUAGGUGGCCAUGUAAGUCAGGUGUGAAAGCCCCGGGCUCAACCCGGGAAGUGCACUUGAUACUGCGUGGCUUGAGUACCGAAGAGGGUAGUGGAAUUCCAGGUGUAGUGGUGAAAUACGUAGAUAUCUGGAGGAACACCGGUGGCGAAGGCGGCUACCUGGUCGAGUACUGACACUGAGACACGAAAGCAUGGGGAUCAAACAGGAUUAGAAACCCCAGUAGUCC